rnacentral:rRNA from 1 species
GACGUAGGAGGCGAGCGUUGUCCGGAGUUACUGGGCGUAAAGCGCGCGCAGGCGGUCACGCAGGUCAUCUGUGAAAGCACUCGGCUCAACCGGGAUGUUGCGGGUGAAACCGCGUGACUUGAGGGUGGGAGAGGUCGGUGGAAUUCCCGGUGUAGUGGUGAAAUGCGUAGAGAUCGGGAGGAACGACCCGUAGCCGAAGGCGGC